rnacentral:lncRNA from 1 species
AAAUUUUCUUAUAAAUGCCUAUUUUUUUACUUUUUUUUUUUUACUUUUAAAAAUCUAUAUUUUACCCCAUCAACACUUCAAGUUGUUGCAAGUAGCCCCCUUUUGUCAGGAUUUCAUCACCAUUCCGUCCAUUUUUUAUAAUUUAUACUGAAAAUGCCCUUUAAAAUCACAAAAAUAUAUUAAAAAUUUAUGUUUUAUAGCAGAAGUCAGGCAAUUUGGUUAUUUUACCCUCUACAUUAACGUCGUCUCCUCCUGAAAAUAUUUUUAAAACUUUAAGAGGAUAAAAUAUAGGUUUCUGGAUAGUCAUGAAGAAAAAGUAAAAAAAACAAAUAUUUACAGAAAGGUUUUCUAUAAUUUUGCCUAAUUUCUUUCUGGUA